GACGAACGCUGGCGGCGUGCCUAAUACAUGCAAGUCGAGCGGACUGACUGGGAGCUUGCUCUUGUUCGGUCAGCGGCGGACGGGUGAGUAACACGUGGGCAACCUGCCCGCAAGACCGGGAUAACUCCGGGAAACCGGAGCUAAUACCGGAUAACACCGAAGACCGCAUGGUCUUUGGUUGAAAGGCGGCGCAAGCUGCCACUUGCGGAUGGGCCCGCGGCGCAUUAGUUAGUUGGUGAGGUAACGGCUCACCAAGGCGACGAUGCGUAGCCGGCCUGAGAGGGUGACCGGCCACACUGGGACUGAGACACGGCCCAGACUCCUACGGGAGGCAGCAGUAGGGAAUCUUCCGCAAUGGGCGAAAGCCUGACGGAGCGACGCCGCGUGAGCGAAGAAGGCCUUCGGGUCGUAAAGCUCUGUUGUGAGGGACGAAGGAGCGCCGUUUGAAGAAGGCGGCGCGGUGACGGUACCUCACGAGGAAGCCCCGGCUAACUACGUG
rnacentral:rRNA from 1 species